CAACCGUAUAAUAUCUGCACCAUCCAGGACUUCAGGAAGGUAAGAGUUUUGUGUGUUUCCGAGGCAAUUUUUACUUUGUUUCCACAAAUUUCGUCGUUCUUAAACUGUAGAUUUGUAGAAUAAAUAGGAUAAAUAAUUCGGAUGAUGACUCUCUAGACGAUAACUGGCUCCUUUAAAUAGUUAUCGAGCGGUCAAAUGAUCAUCACACGUGCCUAACUGAGAAUUAUUGUUGGGUAAAAGGAGCCAAGCGUUAUCGGAGAGUAUCUCCACCUCCAAUUGCACUCCUGUGGAAGCAGAAAAUAUUUUCCUGAAAGGGAACUUUUCUUAAUGGGGUGAGUGCUUCCAUUUCGCUAUAUUAAUGAGCAACGCGAAGAUGACAGCUUGCACGUCACGAUUUGCAGAUGAGCCAUCGAUUUUUUUUUCUUCCAUCGUGUGCAUCAUCUGGAGCGAAUGCCGCGCACUAUUUCCCAGAGUGAAGUUUGCGUGCGCUACCGGUAUUUGUCUAUCAUAAAAUGAGCUCUAAACCUCUUUGUUUGGAAAGAGGAAAAAUCUUAGCUAGAAGUUGAUGUAACAAAUCAAUGGAGAAAGAGCGUGAAUAAUUGAGAAGCGAAGAUUAGUUGAUACUGCAGAAAAUAUAGUAGCAGCAAUAACUGUUCCCUCCGUUUAAAAUUUUCUCGUUUUCCACGGUAAGAAUUACCAAAAUUUCAUCUUUAUUUUUAAAAUGCAGAAGUUUAACCGACGUAAAUAUAGUAGCGCUUCAUCAUUUAUAUAUGUUAAAAUGUUUAAUAAAUGAGGACGGGAUCGUUUCGUGUUCCCAGCAGAACGGAGGAAAGUUUUUCCGCUGGCAGAAUAUAAAUCUAUUGAAUUAAAUCAGUAAUUACUUGUGUCCGGAGAGAUGAAUGGGCGCAAUAGACCACGCACUCUUUAGAUAUUUAUCUUAUUUGCUUAUCUCGUAUACGUAGCGAAUCCGGUUGGUGUUUUGUCUGAUGGUUUUACCGAUGUACGGCAUUUAUCAAGUACUGUAUGUUCUAGCGCUGAUGAUCGCACUCGACCGUAACGGGAUCAUAAAAAAAAAAAAAAGUAUUUUUGAAGAAGUGUGAAGGGGAUAACUAGCUUCCUCUGACGUAAACAUCUCUGCCAUCUUGGACAUGCGCAGAUAUCCAACAUGAGUAAAACAAGGUUGCGAGUCCAUUCAGGGAUUAUGUACUGCGGUCGCUGAUGGUCUAAUGACAUGUUUGAUAUGGCACAGUUCGCUCUUUUCCUCCGAUUGAAUUAACCGAUUAGUGUCAUAUUCAUCUCGCAGCGAUUUUCGCAACGGCGCCAGUUACGGGGUGUAAUAUGUCGGCGUAACUGUUCGAGCUUUACAAACGGGACGGGUUACAGAUUGGCAUUUAACUAGAUGAAUCACAUAUGCGGUCCCACAACCCCUUGGCAACUAGGUGGGAUUGACUUGCCAGCUUUGUCUUCGGAAACUCGAUGAAGCCGAUUUGAUGAGCGCUAACUCGGAUAAGUAAGAAGAAAAGAGAUAAGGGCGAAAGAAAGUGGAGAAAGAUAAAUGCUCUAACCAAUGGCAAACUGCAGUUGUCAAUCGGCCAAUAACGAAAAUGUGUAAUGUUACCCAUGUAUCCAUUUUUCAUAUUGGGUAAUUGCGCGGUCGAUGGAGUGCGGCGUGCCACAGCUUCUCUUACAUCGUCGAGUUAAAAUAUAACACUACCUAAGUGGAAAAGGGCCAAUCGAUACUUCCAGCAGUCACGAAUUAUCCCCCCGGCCUUAUACGUACUUAGGUGAGGAACUUUCCACAGCAAUUCAGAGCGAAUCCCUCCAGAUUCAAUAAAAAAAAAAUAAAAAAUCCUUCGACAAGAUGAUAGGAGUCGGUCCUAUUACCGGGUCGACAUGGCUGGAAUGUGGGAAUCGGACACAUCUCCAAAGGCGAUGAAUUGCUGUUAUAAAUCCGAUACAAUUACAGUUGCGCACAGAAAAUUAACACUGUUGAACACGGGCGUGCUUUGGCAUCAACAUUCCUUGUGCAGACUGGACAAAGUGCUCUAGUCGGAUCGAAAUUACAUGUCGGACGGCAUCAGACAGUGAAUUUUUUUUUAUAAGUUUAGCCUUCACAUUAAUCGGGAAUGCCAACAAUCCGUGCAAUGAAAAAAGGCAUACCAACUACCACGCGUAGAAAUUCGAUGAAGUAGAUUAAUCUGUAUUAACGAGCCAGUGUUUAAUCCAACUCGUUUGUUUUAUUCUCCCUCCAGGCCAUGUUAAUUUGUUUGUUUAUACCAUGCCAAAGCGGGCACAAAACAGCGUUAAUUACGUUAUUUUUCUAAGUUACUUAGCACGAAACCUGUCCAUCAAUGCCACCCGUCGUGACCUUUUACAAUGGAAUACUGACAGCUCUCUUCUAGUGGAUUUUCCUCUUCUAAACUCAAAUAUAUCAGAAUCAUGGUAGGCGAUCCUGUUAAAAAUCCGUAUAAAAACUUAGUAUUGACUCGAGAAGCUUCCUUCUCUUCAAACAUUCCCGGUACGAGUUUAUUUAGCGCCUAAUGGCGGCCAUAGUGUCAUCCAAGGAUGUUUUAGUGUCAUCUUUCAGGGGGAAAAUAUACUACUGGCGGAUGUUUCCGAUGUUUGUUUACUCGGCGUAGCGCCACCAUUGACACGAAAAAGUUUGCCGCAGAUUCGUUUAAAAGAAAUAAAAAUUUGGUGUUAACAGCAAUCGGUGCGACUGUUAAGUUGCCAGAGGAACAAAGUCUAAUGGAUGGGCAAAGGAGGCAAUUGGACACUGGCGUGGCAAGUUGGAACAAAACGCUACCAUGGGCGAAAUGAGCCGAUACCGCUGGUCGGCGCUUUCACCAGAUGUUUGCCUUAUUGUGGACGAUCACGGUCCGUGAAACCUUUUGUUGCCUUCCCGACAUGUACGGAUUAAACCCCAGCGCCAGGGUCUCUGACAGCGGGAUUGCCACUUAUCCGUUUCCGUCUUUGUUCCCGGUUUCUCAAUAUCCAGGUUUCCGUGUUCCGAUGGCACGCAUUAGGUCGUUGUCAGCUGGUUACUUAAUUGAGGCGAGGAGCUGGCAGGGACGGUCGAAAUGCAGGAAGAAAUUUUCGCAUGACGUAAGUCUACGCUACUCUAUUCGACCGUGACCUCGGUUAACGGAAAGCAAAAUUAUUAGGCAAUAUACAAGAGAGGAAGAAACACUGCCAUUGGCAUCCGGAUGUCAUAUGGCGGAUAGAUCUUUCUGGGAAGUCUGCCGUGGCGCCAUCUAAUGAAGUGGAGGAAAACGAGAAAUACGGAGUGUUGCCACAUGUCUAGUGAUGCUCUCCGAUGUUGUCCACUGGUAAAAAUUCUACAGGGCGCGCUGGCCAGAACCGCAGCUGCUUCACUAGCGUGAAAACGACACAGAAUCACUUUCUUAGAAUGGACCAGCGGAUCCAUCGAAUAUAUUUCUUCUGUUUGAUCCGCUUUCGGGUCUCGGAUGCACUCCGACGUCUGAACACUCACGUGGCUUUCACGCACUUCGGCCGAGCCGAGUUAUCCCGAUCGACUGGCUGCCGGCCGGAUGGAUCGCCUGUCCUUGAGGUCUUUUCUGGCGGCGUGUCCUUGAGCGAGCGACGCGGACUAUUAAGAGGGGAGGCGAAACCGACCUGUUUGUCCGGUUGUUGAUUUGCCGGCCGCAGAUUGGUUGCCUGCCACCCCACCUCUUUUAUCGUUUCCCACAAUUCCUCCGACCUAUUCCCAUCGAAAAAGUGCCAUAAGUAUCCGACUACGGCUCGGCCGAGCUUUCUCACUCGGUUAGCUAUUCCGUCCAGCCAUUGGAUCAAACCUUCUCCUUUUCCGCUACGUCACUUGGCGCUGACGUCAUCGGGAGGUGCCGUCGUUUCAAGAUGGCGGACGUUGUAGUGGAGACUGUGUAAGCGCCCGUGUUUGUCCCAGCGCGCAGGACGUUGAAACGACAUCUCCGCUCCUGAGGAGCUUGGAAUCGGUGAGUUGUGACAUUUUCUAACUCCCGCGGACCUGGGUGGUCUUUCGGACACUUUAAAAGAAUCGAUAGCUAGACGCGAAUUCUUUGUGCUGGUUGCACGCAAACUGCCCGCUGCGCUAGUGUUUCUACCACGAAAGAUGGAAGUUAUUUCAGCACCUAUGUAAUCGUUCGGCCCGGGCCACGUUUGGAUUUUGGAGUCUUAACGACGCACUUCUUACCGGCCCGCCACAUGCCACCAAAAUUCAGUCGGACGGACCACGGGUGCCCCAAAUUGGAUCAACUUAGUCAUCGCGGCGGUGGGGCAGUUACGGCCUCGAUGUAUCUACCCCCGCCAGAAACGACAGCUGCGUUAAAUGCAAGAGAGCUGCAGUUCUGCCAGCUGCCUUAUCGUCCGCAAUUAACGAAAGGAGGAAGUUAGUCGGAGAGAGAGAGAGAGAGAGAAAAAAAAGCAAAUUUCGUUUUGUCCGCGGGCGCUUGCUCGCUUCUAUCGACUUCUCCGGCCUAGAAGCGAUGGAGAAAAGUGGCCGUGUGGCCCCAACACGCUUUCCUCAUCUAAACGAACGCGGAGCCCAUCAAUCGUAGCCUUUUUACAAUUCAAUAAAAACAUAGCACGUGCUUACUCGUUGACGACUGCAGUGUACUUCACCACUACUUCGGCCAAUGGCAGCCGGUAGGCGGUGCCAAACCGUUUCGCUCUGUUUCUCUCGGAUAAAGAAAAAAGGGCAAAUUGUUUGCUAGCAAAACAUCGGUUUGUCUCUUCCGAGUCCGAAAGCUCGCUUAAUCGAAGGCCGGAAGUGCGGCUGCCCUCGGUAAAUCUAUCCUAAUUGUCUUCCUCAGUCGGAUAUUUGGAUUAGCCCGUCACGUGACGGAUGGAAAUGGGGCGGAGCGAUGGAUUUUAAUCUCCGGCCUACUCGGAAUGGCCGAUGCUUUUCGCGCCCCCUCGGAGGAAUUCGUCAGGUAAACACCGAUAACUAUGGUCGGGGUUGAUGCGGUGACGUCAGGCAAAGACGAAAUGGCUCUCCCGGGGAGAACGCGGCUGGCGCUUAAGUGAAAACGGGAGAACUUUAAAAGAGGAAGAAGUAAUUCACUGGAAAACACACCCUGCCUUCCGUAUUGUUUUCUCCGGUUGUUUCGAUCGGUGCAUUCGCUCCUUCGGGACUUCUGAGAUUCUGUCGCUUUUUAACUCGGGAACUGACCGCGCGCUCUUCGUGUGUGGUCUACGCUCGCAACGCGCCUUGCUGUCGGUCGCGUUUCGAGUUCGACGCGACCACCAACGCACGACGCGUCUGCGUGCUGUUUCCGGAAAACGGAAACAACCCCUCGAAAAUCAUCUUAAGGUCUUCCGUCACCAGUGACGCGCUCGCAACCAGAACCGGUGGCACGCGCGUUCGUCACCGGUUUCACGGUUAAUUGAGGCUGACGUGAUGGAAAGUAAUUAUGUGGUACGUCCACUUCCGCUAUGUCUGUCACGCUAUAACGCGAUCUGAUUCUCGAUUUAUCCUUCUUCUGUAUGUCUUCAGACAUGCGAAUUCCGAUUUGGACUUCCUUCUUUUCCGCCUACUAUUGGAAUUAUCUACCAAAACUCUUCUUUCGACGACGGGGAUUAAUAAAAAUUAAAAAAAAAAAAAAAAAUGGCGAAUUCCACUACAUCGACUCGAUCCUUGGCGGUAUCGUCUGCGAAUAAUG
rnacentral:lncRNA from 1 species